rnacentral:rRNA from 1 species
AUUGAACGCUGGCGGCAGGCUUAACACAUGCAAGUCGAGCGGGGUGAUGGUGCUUGCACUAUCACUUAGCGGCGGACGGGUGAGUAAUGCAUAGGAAUCUGCCUAUUAGUGGGGGACAACAUCUCGAAAGGGAUGCUAAUACCGCAUACGUCCUACGGGAGAAAGCAGGGGAUCACUUGUGACCUUGCGCUAAUAGAUGAGCCUAAGUCGGAUUAGCUAGUUGGUGGGGUAAAGGCCUACCAAGGCGACGAUCUGUAGCGGGUCUGAGAGGAUGAUCCGCCACACUGGGACUGAGACACGGCCCAGACUCCUACGGGAGGCAGCAGUGGGGAAUAUUGGACAAUGGGGGGAACCCUGAUCCAGCCAUGCCGCGUGUGUGAAGAAGGCCUUAUGGUUGUAAAGCACUUUAAGCGAGGAGGAGGCUCUUUUGGUUAAUACCCAAGAUGAGUGGGCGUUACUCGCAGAAUAAGCACCGGCUAACUCUGUGCCAGCAGCCGCAGUAA